rnacentral:rRNA from 2 species
UGACCUCAAAUCAGGUAGGGCUACCCGCUGAACUUAAGCA